AUUGAACGCUGGCGGCAGGCUUAACACAUGCAAGUCGAGCGGGGGAAGGUAGCUUGCUACCGGACCUAGCGGCGGACGGGUGAGUAAUGCUUAGGAAUCUGCCUAUUAGUGGGGGACAACAUCUCGAAAGGGAUGCUAAUACCGCAUACGUCCUACGGGAGAAAGCAGGGGAUCUUCGGACCUUGCGCUAAUAGAUGAGCCUAAGUCGGAUUAGCUAGUUGGUGGGGUAAAGGCCUACCAAGGCGACGAUCGGUAGCGGGUCUGAGAGGAUGAUCCGCCACACUGGGACAGAGACACGGCCCAGACUCCUACGGGAGGCAGCAGUGGGGAAUAUUGGACAAUGGGGGGAACCCUGAUCCAGCCAUGCCGCGUGUGUGAAGAAGGCCUUAUGGUUGUAAAGCACUUUAAGCGAGGAGGAGGCUACUCUAGUUAAUACCUAGGGAUAGUGGACGUUACUCGCAGAAUAAGCACCGGCUAACUCUGUGCCAGCCGCCGCCGUAA
rnacentral:rRNA from 1 species